GACGAACGCUGGCGGCGUGCUUAACACAUGCAAGUCGAACGCUGAAGCUCAGCUUGCUGGGUGGAUGCGUGGCGAAAGGGUGAGUAACACGUGAGUAAACCGCCCUCUUCUUUGGGAUAACGCUCGGAAACGGGUGCUAAUACUGGAUAUUCACUGAUCUUCGCCUGGGGGUUGGUGGAAAGGUUUUUUCUGGUGGGGGAUGGGCCCUCGGGCUGUCAGCUUGUUGUUGGGGUGAUGGUCUACCAAGGUUUUGCCGGGUAGCCGGCCUGGGAGGGUGGCCGGUCACGUUGAGACUGAGAAACGGCCCUGAGACAUACGGGAGACUGCAGUGGGGGAUAGUGGACGAGAAGCGAACGCCAGAGGCAGCGGCGCGACGUGGGGGAUGGGGGCCUUCGAGGUGUGAACCUCGGUCGCACAUGGUCAAGCCGCGGCAUUGAGUUGUGGUGACGGUAAUGGGUAAAGAAGCGCCGGCUAACUACGUG
rnacentral:rRNA from 1 species